rnacentral:rRNA from 1 species
UUGGUCCUACGGGGCGCAGCAGUGGGGAAUAUUGCACAAUGGGGGAAACCCUGAUGCAGCAACGCCGCGUGAGUGAAGAAGUAUUUCGGUAUGUAAAGCUCUAUCAGCAGGGAAGAAAAUGACAGUACCUGACUAAGAAGCCCCGGCUAACUACGUGCCAGCAGCCGCGGUAAUACGUAGGGGGCAAGCGUUAUCCGGAUUUACUGGGUGUAAAGGGAGCGUAGACGGCUGUGCAAGUCAGAAGUGAAAGCCCGGGGCUCAACCGCGGGACUGCUUUUGAAACUGUGUAGCUGGAGUGCAGGAGG